rnacentral:rRNA from 1 species
AUGCCCGGCACCACCUCCCCCGCCGGGAACUUCUCCUCCGCGCCGCGAGCCACCGUGUGGCCACCACCUCAAUCCACUGACGUCGACGACGAUGCGUGCGGCGGGUGGUGCAGCAGCUGCUCCUUGCCUCCUCCCAUCCUCUCCUUCCUCCAGACAGCGCCUCCUCCUCCCCCUUGCACGCCCGCGCGUGCUGCAUCGGCGACCCCGCGGUCAACAGUCGUCGGCCAGGGAACGCCGCCGCCAUCUGGGCCCUGCUGCCACCACCCUCACGGGCGUCCCUUCGAGCUGGAGCUCGUGGUCAGUGGCAAGAAGCAGCAACCGCGGCUGCAAGCAGCAGCACCACGUCCAGCUUCCCUCUCGCCUCCGGCGACAACCGCCGGAAAGCCGGAGCUCCGCAGCACCCUCUUCCCCUUUUGCUGGACCGGGACAACGAGGCUCCCGCCCGCCAUGAGGCUCGACCGCAGUGCGCGAGCAGCUCCUGGAGCACGAGCACCACGACGAGCAGCUCCUGCAGCGCGUGCACCACGUCGAUUAGCUCGCCGGCAGGGACCCGAUUGCUUUUUAUACUUUUUUGCAGGACCCGAUUGCUUUUUUAAUAAAAUUACAGGGACCUGA